CAGAGUAGAUGUCAGCGAGUUCAAGUGCCGGAAUUACGGGGAGUUGACUUCCGGACGAAAACAUUUUGUUGCUGUGCUGCCAUCGCAUCCCGCUGU
rnacentral:ncRNA from 1 species